rnacentral:rRNA from 1 species
GACGAACGCUGGCGGCGUGCCUAAUACAUGCAAGUAGAACGCUGAAGGAGGAGCUUGCUCUUCUGGAUGAGUUGCGAACGGGUGAGUAACGCGUAGGUAACCUGCCUGGUAGCGGGGGAUAACUAUUGGAUACGAUAGCUAAUACCGCAUAAGAGUAGAUGUUGCAUGACAUUUACUUAAAAGGUGCAAUUGCAUCACUACCAGAUGGACCUGCGUUGUAUUAGCUAGUUGGUGGGGUAACGGCUUACCAAGGCGACGAUACAUAGCCGACCUGAGAGGGUGAUCGGCCACACUGGGACUGAGACACGGCCCAGACUCCUACGGGAGGCAGCAGUAGGGAAUCUUCGGCAAUGGACGGAAGUCUGACCGAGCAACGCCGCGUGAGUGAAGAAGGUUUUCGGAUCGUAAAGCUCUGUUGUAAGAGAAGAACGAGUGUGAGAGUGGAAAGUUCACACUGUGACGGUAUCUGACCAGAAAGGGACGGCUAACUACGUG